rnacentral:rRNA from 1 species
CCAAUAGCGUAUAUUAAAGUUGUUGCAGUUAAAAAGCUCGUAGUUGAAUUUCGGGGUUAGUAGAUUGGUCAUGCCUCUGGUAUGCACUGGUCUCACUGAUUCCUCCUUCCUGAUGAGCCGUAAUGCCAUUAAUUUGGUGUUGCGGGGAAUUUGGACUGUUACUUUGAAAAAAUUAGAGUGUUUAAAGCAAGCUAACGCUUGAAUACAUUAGCAUGGAAUAAUGAAAUAGGACGUUCGAUCCUAUUUUGUUGGUUUCUAGGAUUGACGUAAUGAUUAAUAGGGGUAGUUGGGGGCAUUAGUAUUCAAUUGUCAGAGGUGAAAUUCUUGGAUUUAUUGAAGACUAACUACUGCGAAAGCAUUUGCCAAGGAUGUUUUCAUUAAUCAAGAACGAAAGUUAGGGGAUCGAAGACGAUCAGAUACCGUCGUAGUCUUAACCAUAAACUAUGCCGACUAGGGAUCGGAUGAUGUUAAUUUUUUAAUGACUCAUUCGGCGCCUUACG